GCCUUCCUGAAAGCCCGACCUCGGAGCCUAAGCGUCCCCUAGUAACCUUCGCAAAAAGGAAGAGAGGGGUUCCCCUUUUGGCCCUGGACCAGUGACUUUGCUGUUUCUUCCUUGGAGAGACCUGGCUUUGGGCGAUGGGGGGAUAAGGGGAUUGGAGCAGUGGCUCUCGUAGGGUGGUCUGAGGGGCCCUGUGGGUCCGAAGAUCCUUUCAAAACUAGUUUCAUAGUAAUGGUAGGAUUUCGUUUCCCUUUCUUACUCUCACUGAAAUUUUCCAGAGAACUGAUGUGUGAUGACGUCAUCGCUCUCAUGACUAAAGGAAUGUGUGCUUGUAUUGUGUUUUCUAGAAUUUCCUAAGCUUUCCGAAUGUUCCACAUUUGUUGAAAACUACAAACAAACAUAUCCAAGAAUCCCAGUGAAUGCCAAGCAGCAUAAACACAAAGAAAACCACAUCAAGGCACUGCAGAAUCAAAUUUCUCAAAACUAGUGAUACAGAGAAAAUCUUAAGUCUAAUCACUGGUUUCUCAUCAAAAACAAUGCAAACCAGAAGAUGGUGGAACAACAUCUUUAAAGCAUUGGAAGAAUGCUUUCAACCCAGAAUUUUAUAUCCAGUGAAAAUGUCAUUCAAAGAUGAAGGCAAAAUAAAGACAUUUCAGAUAAGCUAAAGCCAAGAGCAUUCAUCACUAGUGACCUUGUACCACAAGGAAUGCUAAAAGAAGUUCUUCAGGUUAAAGGAAAAGGAUACCAGAUGGACACAAGAAUCUAUGCAAAGGAAUGAAGAGUACCAGAAAUGUUUUCUGACAUCAGAAGUGGGAUCCAAAGAAGAUCCUCAACAACUCUGAGGCCAGUGAGCAACCACGUGCUGGUACCCACUGGGCCCAUUGAGCUCACCACUGUCUUGCCAACCUUGCAGUCAGCCUGAAUGCUGCUCUCUUUGCAUGUUGAGCUCUUGGAAUUUAUUGUGCAUACCUGUAUUCUGUUUGUUGAAGCUUCUUGAAGAAGAAAGGAAAAAGAAGAAGGCAAAACCUAAAUGGAUAUAGAAAGAUGCAAAAGGCUUUGUACCCUGAGCAAAGGGCUGCUUGCUCCCAGCAGAGGACUGACUCAAGGAUCUCAGAAUCCCGAGAAACAGAGAGUCUUCCACAUUCAUGAAGUUCGAGAUAAGUUGCGGGAGAUAGUAGGAGCAUCCACAAACUGGAGAGACCACGUGAAAGCAAUGGAGGAAAGAAAAUUACUUCAUAGUUUUUUGGCUACGUCACAGAAAGGACUGCCACCUAGGAGAAUGAAAGACAGUUACAUUGAAGUUCUCUUACCUUUGGGCAGUCAGCCUGAAUUACGAGAGAAAUAUUUGACUGUUCAAAACACUGUAAGGUUUGGCAGGAUUCUUGAGGAUCUUGACAGCUUAGGAGUUCUUAUUUGCUACAUGCACAACAAAAUUCAUUCAGCUAAGAUGUCUCCUUUAUCGAUAGUUACAGCCCUGGUGGACAGGAUUGAUAUGUGUAAGAAAUGCUUAAGCCCAGAACAGGACAUCAAGUUCAGUGGCCAUGUUAGUUGGGUUGGGAAGACGUCCAUGGAAGUGAAGAUGCAUAUGUUCCAGUUACACGACAAUGAAUUUUCCCCUGUUUUGGAUGCGACAUUUGUAAUGGUGGCUCGUGAUUCGGAAAACAAAGGGCCGGCAUUUGUUAAUCCACUCACCCUUGAAAGCCCAGAGGAAGAAGAGCUCUUUAGACAAGGAGAAUUGAACAAGGGGACAAGGGUCGCCUUCAGCUCCAUGUCAUUACUGAAAAUGGCUCCCACUGCUGAGGAGAGGACAACCAUACAUGAGAUGUUUCUUAACACGCUGGAUCCAAAGACUAUAAGUUUUCGAAGUCGAGUUUUGCCUCCUAAUGCAGUGUGGAUGGAGAAUUCAAAACUGAAGAGCUUGGAUAUUUGCCACCCUCAGGAGCGGAACAUUUUCAAUCGAAUCUUUGGUGGUUUCCUUAUGAGGAGAGCGUAUGAACUUGGAUGGGCUACUGCUUGUAACUUCGGUGGUUCCCGACCAUUUAUAGUCACCGUGGAUGAUAUCAUGUUUCAGAAACCUGUUGAGGUUGGAUCAUUGCUGUUUCUUUCUUCGCAGGUUUGCUUUACUCAGGGAAAUUACAUUCAAGUCAGAGUACACAGUGAGGUGGCCUCUCUACAGGAUAAAGAGCAUAUGACCACCAAUGUCUUUCAUUUCACGUUCAUGUCGGAAAAAGAAGUGCCCUUGGUUUUCCCCAGAACAUAUGGAGAGUCCAUGUUGUAUUUAGAUGGGCAGCGGCAUUUCAGCUCCAUGAGUGCACCAGUGACCUUGAAAAAGGACUACCUCAUCAAGCCCUAGGAAGACCGCGUUUGUUGAAGGCCAGUGCCCCACAGUGACACAGUGUCUGAUGAAGGCCUGAGCAAGUAUAUUGCUCUUAGUGUUUAUUCUCAUCCUCCAUAGCGAAGAAGGAUGUAUUCAGCUUUUAGGUUGAUCAGAAAAGUAGAAUGAGAGAAUGGCUGGCUGGGUGGGGCAGAGGGGGAAAGAAUUAUUGAAUAAUAAAUACUUUCAAGACAGUUUAAAUUGUGAACCUACCACGUUUCCUCCUGUCUACUCAGGAAAUGAGGGCUGAAUGCCUUUUUAUGUGAGUGGACACAUUCUUUUCUUACACAUAUUGCAACCAUCAAUCUACAUGGUUUCCUGCCAGGGCAUUUGGAGGGCAUUCUUUAAACCUGACCUUUACUGCAAUUCCCCUGUAUUAUUUAAAUCCCAUCAACCCUAUGUGAUUCCUUUGUAUUUUUGCCUCCUUCUAUUUUCCAGCUUUUGUUGUUAGCAGAGGGUAGAUGAAAAGUUGUAGUGAAGGGAUUCAACAAAAGACACAGCAUUUGUAAGGAUUUGUGGGAAGCUUUAGAUCUGAAACCAUACCAAGGAAACACAAAAGACCCCGAAUAGCCAAAGCAAUCUUGAGAAAGAAAAAUGGAGCUGGAGGAAUCAAGCUCCCCGACUUCAAACUAUACUACAAAGCUACAGUGAUCAAGAUGGUAUGGUACUGGCACAAAAAUAGAAAUGUAGAUCAAUGGAACAGGAUAGAAAGCCCAGAGAUAAACCCACGCACAUAUGGUCACCUUAUCUUUGAUAAAGGAGGCAAGAAUAUACAGUGGAGAAGACAGUCUCUUCAAUAAGUGGUGCUGGGAAAACUGGACAGCUACAUGUAAAAGUAUGAAAUUAGAACACUGCCUAACACCAUACACAAAAAUAAACUCAAAAUGGAUUAAAGACCUAAAUGUAAGGCCAGACACUAUCAAACUCUUAGAGGAAAACAUAGGCAGAACACUCUAUGACAUAAAUCACAGCAAGAUCCUUUUUCACCCACCUCAUAGAGAAAUGGAAAUAAAAACAAAAGUAAACAAAUGGGACCUAAUGAAACUUAAAAGCUUUUGCACAGCAAAGGAAACCAUAAACAAGACGAAAAGACAAGCUUCAGAAUGGGAGAAAAUAUUUGCAAAUGAAACAAUGGACAAAGGAUUAAUCUCCAAAAUAUACAAAUGGCUCAUGGAGCUCAAUAUCAAAAAAACAAACAACCGAAUUAAAAAAUGGGUGGAAGACCUAAAUAGACAUUUCACCAAAGAAGACAUACAGAUGGCCAAGAGGCACAUGAAAAGAUGCUCAACAUCACUAAUUAUUAGAGAAAUGCAAAUCAAAACUACAAUGAGGUAUCACCUCACACCGGUCAGAAUGCCCAUUAUCAAAAAAUCUAGAAACAGUAAAUGCUGGAGAGAGUGUGGUGAAAAGGGAACCCUCCCGCACUGUUGGUGGGAAUGUAAAUUGAUACAGUCACUAUGGAGAACAGUAUGGAGGUUCCUUAAAAAACUAAAAAUAGAACUACCAUAUGACCCAGCAAUCCCACUCCUGGGCAUAUACCCUGAGAAAACCAUAAUUCAAAAAGAGACAUGUACCACAAUGUUCAUUGCAGCACUAUUUACAACAGCCAGGACAUGGAAGCAACCUAAGUGUCCAUCGACAGAUGAAUGGAUAAGGAAGAUGUGGCACAUAUAUACAAUGGAAUAUUACUCAGCCAUAAAAAGAAACGAAAUUGAGUUAUUUGUAGUGAGGUGGAUGGACCUAGAGACUGUCAUACGGAAUGAAGAUCUUAGUUCCCUGACCAGGGAUUGAACCUGGGGCACGACAGUGAAAGCCCGGAAUCCUAACCACCAGGCCACCAGGGAACUCCCAUUGUUAAUGUAAACAUGUAAGUUGUUACUUAUAAAUUUAGUACAAGCUGUAAAUGUAAAUUUAGAAAAAAGGAGGAACCAAGGGGCUUUAUGUUGUAUACAGAGUCUGGGGUCCACCGUCCCUACCAGAUGCUAUAGAAGGUGACUGUGCUCACAACCUAUUCUUUCCUGCCACCUGCAAAGGUACAGAGAGGUGAGCCACAGUGGAGUGGUAACAGCCCCGAAACUAGAAAUUAGCCUGUCUGGGUUCAAAGACUGAGUCUACCUUUGCUAGCUAGCUGUUUCCUUAUCUGUAAAAUAAAGAAUUCAAAGAGUUGCUGUGAGAAUUAAGUGAAAUAAUGCACCUAACCUCCUAACACAAUGCCUGGUAGAUGGCAUGUACUCCAUAAAUGUUAGUUACUACUCUUGUUACUAGUUUGAGUCAGUCUGACAUUUUUGUAUUUUGGAAAGAUAGAGAAUAACUGCCUACCUUUUGGCAUCAGUGUCUACCAAACACUAAAUAUCUUUGGACCCUGACAUGGAUUUUUAUAUUAUUCAAGAAAUUACUACUGCAACACAAUGUGGUAAUAAAACAGUGAACUUUACUGAGAAGUUUCAAGCAUCAUGACCUGAGGAAGUAUUCUUCAGUUCAGUUUAUCAAAAUAUUUGAGCUUUCCAGCUGGAUCUGGAAUUAUCUGUUAAAGAAAAAAAGCAAAUUAUUCAUUUUAAAAGCCAAAGUAUAUCAACAGUAGUCUGACAUUAGUUGCUUAUCUCUUGACUAAAGGUAAAGAUUAUUUUGUGUACCAAAUUAUAUCAUAUAUAUUUAGGAAAAACUGGAUUUGUCCUGCUAAUCUCAGCUAUCCCAGAAGGCAGAUAAUUUGCUAGUAAAUUAACAUCUGUACUCAAGCACCCUCAAAUUUACUUACAGCUCUUCUCUUUGCCACCAGGCUUUCAUGGCAUCUUCAGGUAUGGUCUAAUUAAAUCAAACAUGUUAAGAGAGCAUGGCUACAGAUGUUAAUGUAUUUUAAAAAUCAUCUGCUGAUGAAGUGAUGGUAUGCUACAACCUGAAAAGGGGGCAGUGGGUCCAAAUGGAUUGCUUGGAGGUCCAGAACUGUAACCUUUUAAUCUCAAACCGCAAAGUGAAAGAAGUACUCUAAAAACAACAUGAGUGCCUAUUUAGUGAAUGGACAAAUGCUCUGGAAGAAAAAGUGUUCCCUCCUAGAGCAUUACAGCCUUAGAAACCUCCUAGGUUUCUCAUUUCUCACAUUAACUGUUACUUGCUAGUUACAGGUAAAGUACAUCUAUCCCUAUAUAAAAAUAUAACCUUGUAAUUUAUUGUAAUCAGCUUAUGAUAGUUCUAUAUGCAUUUUCUUCAGCAUAAAAUAAAUGUUACCUAAUUUCA